UUCAUUCAUGAGGGGAAAGUAGAGUGAGAACAUGUGGAGGCUGUUAGAGGGAAAACACAGUGCGUUCACACUGAGUAAAGUAUUCUGAUUGUAUAUUUUACAGUUUUGUACUGUCGUUCUAAAAUAUCAUUAAAUUUACAUAAGUAGACUGAUUUUACAUGUCAAAGGUAAAAUAACAUCACGAACCGUAUUUUUAUGCGGGAGUUAUUUUCUGUUAUUUUACGGUUGUAUUUUGGCGCCCCGGCUGCCGGAAUAUUACAGGUUUUUUUUAACAGUGCACCCUACUUGAAAAUGGAGGUAAGUUCAGUAAAGUCCUUAUCACGUUAGAGUGCGCACUUCCAAUUUAAAUAGUGCUCUUCAAACACUUUCAGAUAAGACCCUUCUCAAAGUCUAAAAAAUUCAGGAGCCUAAUUUUCCAUAAAGUGUUAUUUUUUAAUUAUUCAAUAAAUAAUGUUUGAUUAAAACCUAACUAUGAAUGUGUUUCAGGGAACGCUGAGGACUACUGCGCUGUUUGCUCCGUGUUAGAUGCUGACGCUGACCGCAGCAUGAUUGAAAUGGAUGCUAAAGGCGUGUGCUGCUGAACUUGGAGAGCCGCUAUGAGUCUUCAACCUCCAACAGAGGCUGAGGUCUUUUAACAUCUGCAGGAAGCUCCUGAGGAUGUUUGACCAGUUGGUGGUUGAAAAACUCCUUUGUCCCACAUCAUCAAACUGUUGAACUCCUCUCUGGAGGGGAAAGCGAGGGGAUACAGGGCGGGAACAACUGAGCUGUAGUGCCUUUUCACUGCGACUCACUCAAAUGUGGAAUCCACUGGUAUUCCCAUUUAUCCAUAUUAUAUAUUCUGCAUUUAUAUAUGUGUUAUAUGUAUAUAUGGUAUAUUUAUGCUUAAAUCCUUACUCUCAUUCCCCUUUAUUGCAUCUGUAACAUGCAACUUCUGUCGGUGCUGUGCUGCUGGAAACUACAUUUCCACCCACCUGAGGGAUUAAUAAACUUUCAUCUAAUCUAAUCUUUA
ensembl:lncRNA